UUUGUUUGAUAGCAUUUUUUUCUAUUUAUUUUUUCCAUUAAUUAAAGUUUUAGGGAAAUGACUCUCCUUGUUUUAUUUUGAAAUGUUCCUGCUGUGUGCCUGGGCUUCACCUACUUCCUGUCUGUCAGGAAAGUGGCUGAUGAUCUGAUGUGUUCCACCUGUGGUCACUCAGUGUCGCCACCUACCUCUGUGUCUGUCUGCUGUUUCUCUUCUCACUUUUCCUGCUCUGUUUAUUAUAAAAAAAUAUUUUCAUAGAAAGUAUUUUAUAAUUGUCUUGUGUCAUGUGCUUAAAGAAAGAGACUUUUAUCACUGUUUAAAAACAAAUGAGGAAAGACGGAGCUUGUCUACUGUUGAUCCAACCUCAGCUGUCGACCGUGAGGCAGCGUCACCAGCUCCAGACCAGAGGACACGCCCAUCAGACCUUUCAGGUCUGGAGUCACUCCCAGGAUCCUGGCGAUCUGAAGAACACAAGCAGAAACUCUGUCCGUUAAGGUGGACCAGAGUUGCAGGUUUGAAUACCUGACAGUCAGCCAGCAGCAUGUGUUUGGCGAUGCUGUGGUGGUUGUGACUCAGCACCAGCUCCUUCGACUUCUUCAGCACCGCCAUCUCCAGCG